UGGGUAAUAGCUCAGUGGUAGAGUGCAUGCUUAGCAUGCACAAGGUCCUGGGUUCAGUCCCCAGUACCUAG
rnacentral:tRNA from 1 species